GAAAUCUGAAUGACCAAGACAUAUCAGCAACAGUAGAAGCACCUGUCCCCAAACCCAAUACUUUACUUUUUACACUUGGGAUGACACUGAGCUUCCAGAAGACAUUCUGUUCCCUGGCACCACCAUAGAUUGAAAUGCUUCACUUGAGAGGAAAUUUCAUUGCAAGCCAGAAGGACAGCAUGCUCCAAGACUUAUUGCAGAAAAAGAGGACAGGCAGAAAUAGCAGAGAUGUCUGAGGUCCCUUUUGCUUCUGUUUUGAAUAUAAACAAUUUCACAAUUCUUCUUUAUGUCAAUUCUCUUGUAGGCUGAAGUAACUGUUUUCCUAUUUUAGUGAUUCUAGUUUCUCAAGAAGGUAAGACAUCAGGUAAUCCUAUACUUUACUGUCUGCCUACCACCAGUGCUACAGUGUACCAUUUGUGCACUGCCCUUGCAUUCACCAGCAAGAAAUGAACAGAUCCAUCCAUCAGGCUCCAGAAAAUGUGUAUCUGCAGAGAGGGAGCUCAUGUCUGUUUCUGGUAGCAGCAACUCCUUCCCCAGUGAGGCUGAACAGCCUCUCUCUCCAGGUUAAACCAAAUGGCUUUGGUUGUCUCUCAGGGAUGUGAGUGAAUGGAUGUGCCGCCCCAAAACUCCCACCUCUCAGAUCAUAUACUACUUAUGUGAAAACAGUGGGAAAUUACACUAAUACUGAAUCACAGUUCUGUAUGCAUCAUCAUCAUGUACAGAUGUUUUCCAUGGUGAGGAAGUUGUUGUUAGGGUCACUUGCUUCAGCAAAUCAUGUGAUGAUCAGAAUUUGGGGAUAAUCUAAGAAGGAAGAAUAGCUGCCCUUCUCUUUUGUUCCAUUAGCAGCUGUAUCUACUAUCAAUAUUGUUGAAAAGAUUAAUGGAUAUACAAAUAAAACACCAGGAAAAAUAUAUUAAAAAAAAUCCAUUUCUCAUAUUUAGGGCAUUUGUCUGGUACACUACAAUUCUUAGUUUUGAUAAAAUGCUGUUUUUAAAUAUCAGAUUUGUAAUUGUGACUGUGAGAAACUGUACUUUGUUAAAAAUAAUGUGAGGAACUGAAAAUAGAUCAAAUCACAUUAUUAUGAGCUGUAGUUCUAUUCAACAGGUAUGAAAGCUCUAAUAGUGUUAGGUCUUCUUGCUUUACCACACAUGGUUACUACGCAUUAUGUUCCAAAAACAAAUGUACAAACCUCCUGGUAAGAGUCAAUAAGAAGAGGAAAAUUGUGGUUACACAUCUUAUUAGAUGAAAAUACCUGCUUCUUUUAGGUCUUUUUGCCUCUGCUCAUGUCAGAAGAGUUGUGCCAUCCUAUCUGUAUCUUCUUGGAAGGGCAAUGUGUCCUAUUUCCACUUAAAGGUUGAGGGUUUGGCAAGGAACGUUCUGAUCUUCUAAGAGUGAACAAACAUUGUGCAAGAUCUCAUUACAGAGUUCCCAAGUUGCCAGCCUAAAAUGCUUUACCAGGCAAUCACUAUUUCCUGGGUAUGCUUAUGUACCACAAGGAGCUUGAUAUUUAUGCAGCUUGCAGUAUGCUGCGCAUAUAAAAAUCAGCUACAAGAGAAAAAAAAGUGUUUAUGGAAGAAGAGGUUGGUAUACACUGACACAUUUUGAUGGGUUACUAAUAUAAACAAGCCAAAGCAAAGAUUAAGCUGACAGUAUGAGGUUUGGUUUGUGGUCAUGUGUGCUGAGGAACCAGCUGUGCCAGCUGUCUUUCAGAAAGUGUUCAUGUUGUUUUCCAUACCCAUGAGCUGCACUGGAGAAGAAAGCUGAAAAGAAUAAUUAGACUCACAAAAUCAAGCCCUUGAACCCGUGUAAAUUAAGCAACAGGAUUAAGGUUUUUCUCUGCCUCUUAACUGAGCCCCCCCAUCAUGCUCUCCAAGCUCAGUUUCCGUGGCCAAGUUCAGUUACACACUUCAUACCUAUAGACAAGUAAAUAAUAUAAAACAUGGUCAGGUAUUUUGCUGGAACCUUGCCUUCUUUCAGUGAAUGGGCAGUUACUCAAUACUUAUGUUUGUCCUACUCAUUCAGCAUGAGAUCUCAGGUGUCAUUUGCUGCAUGAUUUUCAAACCCUAUAACAAAAGAGAAAUUUUAUUUUUCUCAGGCUUUUAUCUGGCUUCUACAUCAUCAUAUGUUCACAUUGUUUCCUGUUUUGGUUUUUGUUUUCCCUUUAAAUAAACCUGAAUACAUUUACUAAAAGUGUGAUGUUAUUAGUAGCAUUUUUAGAUGCACAAAAGGAUGAGUUUCAGUGAGGAAAAAAAGUUAAAUUUGUCUAUACUGUAAGCUAUUUUGUGUGGCCAGUGGAGUUGCCAGCUCCAAUUCUCAGUACUCAAGAGCACUCUAUAUUUGCCAAAUAUGAUUCUCACUGCCAUCAGUUUCUGCUGUGAGGGUUUAGUAUUUCUGCAUAUCAGAUCAACGCUUCUGAACAUGGAUAUUCCUAAAUCAAGAACCUACUGUUCUUCCCCAGCCAUCUAGGUCCUUCUCUUCACCUGCUAUUUCUCACCUUUUCACUGAUGCAUUGCACCAAAGCUGCCAUCUUCCCCUCCUACCAGGUCAGUAAGAUUUGGAUUGCAGCAAGGGUAGCAUCUUUAUUCUUGUGCCUAGUAUUUAGCACCAGAUAACUGCUGACAACACCAAUUUCAAGGGAAAUUUGCAAUGAAAAGUCUCCUCCCAUUUAUGUAUGUGCAUGCUUGUGUGUGUAGCAGAAGCGACUGAAGUAGAAAAUUAACAUUUUCUCUUUUCUUUAUCUAGCAUCUUGUCUAAAAGCCUUUGAUCACAUCUCUUUCUCUAUCCUGCAGCUUUUUGAAGGAGGUGUAGAACCCAGUUUGGGGUGCUCUACCCCUUUAACCUUUCCACCACUGCUACCACAGAGGUUUGGGCUGGGGUUGCUUAUCUCAGGUCAAGACCUAUAAUUAUGAAUGGUUUCAAUGGUAUAGUGAGAAUAACAAGAAAAAAGAAGAAUGUUCACUAAAUAAAAAGGAAAAAAAUUAUCAUACUCAGGAAUUAAUUUAAAUCCAGACAAGACUUCUAAGUGCAGUGGUGGAAGACCCACAUCUCAGAGCUAUGAAAUCAAGUGGACAAAACCCAUUUUAUAUGUGUUUGUAGGGAAUGAUUUGAACAUAUUGUACCAGACCUUUUCUGGCUAAGAUUCCUAGAACUAAAGCUUAUUCUUGCGAUGCUGCCAGCAGCCCAUGUAAGCUUUGCCUAGCUGAAGUGGUCAAGAAAGGUACAUUCACAGCUACAUCAAGGCCUUUCCAACUUACUUGCAAUAGCAGUAAUGAGUAUACAAAAUAUUUAACUUCCAUUUUCCUUGCCAUAUAUAGCAAUUAUUCUGUCAUUCAUCAAAUGUACACAAAUUUCUUUUCAUAUGUAAAUACACCAUUUGCUUCACAGUUCUAGCCAAACAGUUGUGCAGUUCUUUGUUAAGAAGAUAAUAUAUUUAAUGAUGGAGUGCCUUGUUUCCAUUGUAUGGAACAGGUGUUGUUUAGUGGCACAGGCAUUGUAACAUUAUAUUCAUUUAUUAAUGUGAGUGUAACGAACACAUUGUAGAGACAUGAAUGUACUGGUCUCAUAGUUAGGGUUAGUGGUUUCUUAUGAUGUGGUAAGUGUAGGAUAGUGGCUUAGAUUCAGACUGCAGAGAAGCAGGAGUUCAUUAUAGCAAAUCCAAGUGAUGUGGCUGGUUUUGGCCCUUGUUCACUUUUGAAAAGCAGAGAAUACAUGAAAGACUUCAUUGAAAAUGUGCAAGUUAUUCAGUGUGGUUAAUUCUACAUUGGCUUUGCUCCCACCUUCUUUCAAGACUGUGUAUGUGAACAUGCUUUCUGAAACAGCAAAACCAAUCUGCAAUGCAUUUAUGUUGCUUUUGGAUACAUGCACAAUCCCUAGUAUCCUAUUUCAUGAAGUAAUAACCUGUCUUCAAAUAUGAGGGAAGAAGUCUGUAGGUGAUCCACUAAAGCCAUGAAACAAUACUUGCUUGGAUAGUGCAGCUACAGAAAGUCAGUCCUUUGCUCUGUUUCACACAUGCUGCCUCAUUUUAAGAGUUUCUGCUCUGAGUGCUACUUACCUAGAAUUGCUGCUCACUCAACAAGCAAGGUAGCUACAGCUGUACACACAAAUCAGGUGUAUGAGUGAAGUAACUAAAGUAUCUGAUUUUUCUUACUGUGUGAAAUUGCUCAUGUGGUAUCAGUCAGAGGGCCAGAAUUGACAAAUGCAGGUAAAUGCUGGCAGUGUCCAUUUGCUUUAUGGAACUCAAAUGGCCGCUUCAGUUUGUUUGGACAUAUCUCAUAUUUUUUUCUCUAGUGCCUCAUGCUAACUUUGAUGCCCUAUAUCACCAUUAUGCAGUGCAUUAAAAGUAUCUUCUUUUUAACCUACCUUUUUGGAAAUAUUUCCUUUAAAAAUCAAGGUAUGUAAUGAAGUGAUUCUGUUGAGUAAAGUUAAUAA